GCCACCUUAACGUGGUGGAGGGGUUUGAGUAUCCCCAUGACCCAGAUGGAGGUUUUGGCUUGGGCUUCACCCAGUAGUGAGGCUUCCCAGGCAGGCUGCCAUUGGGGAGGGAUCAGACUAAGAGCGAUUCAAGGUUUUCAAUGAAGGACUACCAAAGGAAUCAGGUACCAGAAUGUGAGGAACUUAAGGUCAGAUGGGGUCUAAGAUAACAUCAGAAACAUAUCAGAACCAUUUGCUUUGGAGUCUCAAGGAGCAACAAUUUUACGCAAGACAAGCUCAAAUACGUAUCACAGCCACACUGGAAAAAGUGAUGCACGGAGCUGUUCAUUCAAGCUAAUAACUACCAUUGAAUACAUUGUAAAAUAAUUGAC